rnacentral:rRNA from 1 species
UCGAAAGCUUGCUUUUGAUGGGCGUCGACCGGCGCACGGGUGAGUAACGCGUAUCCAACCUGCCCACCACUUGGGGAUAACCUUGCGAAAGUAAGACUAAUACCCAAUGACGUCUCUAGAGGACAUCUGAAAGAGAUUAAAGAUUUAUCGGUGAUGGAUGGGGAUGCGUCUGAUUAGCUUGUUGGCGGGGUAACGGCCCACCAAGGCUACGAUCAGUAGGGGUUCUGAGAGGAAGGUCCCCCACAUUGGAACUGAGACACGGUCCAAACUCCUACGGGAGGCAGCAGUGAGGAAUAUUGGUCAAUGGACGAGAGUCUGAACCAGCCAAGUAGCGUGCAGGAUGACGGCCCUAUGGGUUGUAAACUGCUUUUAUAAGGGGAAUAAAGUGAGUCUCGUGAGACUUUUUUGCAUGUACCUUAUGAAUAAGGACCGGCUAAUUCCGUGCCAGCAGCCGCGGUAAUACGGAAGGUCCGGGCGUUAUCCGGAUUUAAUGGGUUUAAAGGGAGCGUAGGCCGGAGAUUAAGCGUGUUGUGAAAUGUAGAUGCUCAACAUCUGCACUGCAGCGCGAACUGGUUUCCUUGAGUACGCACAAAGUGGGCGGAAUUCGUGGUGUAGCGGUGAAAUGCUUAGAUAUCACGAAGAACUCCGAUUGCGAAGGCAGCUCACUGGAGCGCAACUGACGCUGAAGCUCGAAAGUGCGGGUAUCGAACAGGAUUAGAUACCCUGGUAGUCCGCACGGUAAACGAUGGAUGCCCGCUGUUGGUCUGAAUAGGUCAGCGGCC